GUGGGGAAUAUUGGACAAUGGGCGCAAGCCUGAUCCAGCCAUGCCGCGUGAGUGAUGAAGGCCCUAGGGUUGUAAAGCUCUUUCACCGGUGAAGAUAAUGACGGUAACCGGAGAAGAAGCCCCGGCUAACUUCGUGCCAGCAGCCGCGGUAAUACGAAGGGGGCUAGCGUUGUUCGGAAUUACUGGGCGUAAAGCGCACGUAGGCGGACAUUUAAGUCAGGGGUGAAAUCCCGGGGCUCAACCCCGGAACUGCCUUUGAUACUGGGUGUCUGGAGUAUGGAAGAGGUAAGUGGAAUUCCGAGUGUAGAGGUGAAAUUCGUAGAUAUUCGGAGGAACACCAGUGGCGAAGGCGGCUUACUGGUCCAUUACUGACGCUGAGGUGCGAAAGCGUGGGGAGCAAACAGGAUUAGAAACCCCUGUAGUCC
rnacentral:rRNA from 1 species